AUGAAGCUGUAUGUUGCUCUAUGGGAGGAAAGGAACCUGCUUUUCAAGUACAAAGAACGAUAUGAGAAGCAAGCUGGCUACAUUAAUCCGUAUGAACGUGUUGUCAAGCUGGCGAACGAAGCAUGUGCAAGUAAAGAGCAGGAGCACCGCAAAGCGAACUUGUGCUUCCGGCGAAGGCCAACUGCAGAGAUUGAUUUGUCCUUAUUGCUUGGAGGGGAAAUUCUGUUGGUUAAGCAUGAUGAAGAAUUCGGUUGCAAGGCAUUAAUCCAGGAGGGCGGCCAAUUUGAAGCUCCAUGGCCAAAAGAAGCAACAUGGGAGUGA
rnacentral:rRNA from 1 species